ensembl:snRNA U6 U6 spliceosomal RNA
GUGCUGGAUUUGCCAGCACAUAUACUAAAGUUGGAACAAUAUAGCGAAUAUUAGAAUGCCCCCUGUGCAAGCAUUACAUGCAUUUGUGAAGAGUUAUUCUUCCUUGUA